AACGUAGGACGCAAGCGUUAUCCGGAGUUACUGGGCGUAAAGGGCGGGCAGGCGGAACGUCAAGUGGGGUGUGAAAGCUCCCAGCUUAACUGGGAGAGGCCAUUCCAAACUGGCGCUCUGGAGGGCAGUAGAGGUAGGCGGAAUUCCGGGUGGAGUGGUGAAAUGCGUAGAGAUCCGGAGGAACACCAGAGGCGAAGGCGGCCUACUGGGCUGCACCUGACGCUGAACCGCGAAAGCCAGGGGAGCGAACGGG
rnacentral:rRNA from 1 species